rnacentral:rRNA from 1 species
AUACAGAGGGUGCAAGCGUUAAUCGGAAUUACUGGGCGCAAAGCGCGCGUAGGCGGUAUGUUAAGUCGGAUGUGAAAUCCCUGGGCUCAACCUAGGCAUUGCAUCCGAUACUGGCACACUAGAGUGUGGGAGAGGAAGGUAGAAUUCCAGGUGUAGCGGUGAAAUGCGUAGAGAUCUGGAGGAAUACCGAUGGCGAAGGCAGCCUUCUGGCCUAACACUGACGCUGAGGUGCGAAAGCAUGGGGAGCAAACAGGAUUAGAUACCCUGGUAGUCCAUGCCGUAAACGAUGUCAACUAGCCGUUGGGCUCCUUGAGGGCUUAGUGGCGCAGCUAACGCGAUAAGUUGACCGCCUGGGGAGUACGGUCGCAAGACUAAA